rnacentral:misc_RNA from 1 species
AACGCACCUUGCGCUCUAUGGCUAUCCGUAGAGCAUGCCUGUUUGAGUGCCAUGAAAUCUCCCAUCCCAAGCGGUUUUUAAAUGAAACGGCUUGGCGGAUGGGGUCUGGAUGGGUGCCUCUGCCUGCGCUACCUAGCACAGGCUCGCCCGAAAUGCAUGAGCGCCUUGAGACACUUUGCAUCCGCCUCUCCGUUUGGGAGGGGGCGGCCAAGCAGUGUUUUUCUCCUGGCAUGGCAUGAUACGUCAUGUGCUAUGUCGCCUAGAGGAGGAAUGUUGAGUUGUGUCUGCGUGUGCUUCAAACGUGCCUGUGUGGCACAUCCCAAUUGCACUUCUGGUCUCAAAUCAGGUAGGAUCACCCGCUGAACU